AACGAACGCUGGCGGCAUGCCUAACACAUGCAAGUCGAACGAGACCUUCGGGUCUAGUGGCGCACGGGUGCGUAACGCGUGGGAACCUGCCCUUAGGUUCGGAAUAACUCCCCGAAAGGGGUGCUAAUACCGGAUAAUGUCUUCGGACCAAAGAUUUAUCGCCUUUGGAUGGGCCCGCGUUGGAUUAGCUAGUUGGUAGGGUAAAAGCCUACCAAGGCGACGAUCCAUAGCUGGUCUGAGAGGAUGAUCAGCCACACUGGGACUGAGACACGGCCCAGACUCCUACGGGAGGCAGCAGUAGAGAAUAUUGGACAAUGGGCGAAAGCCUGAUACAGCAAUGCCGCGUGAGUGAUGAAGGCCUUAGGGUUGUAAAGCUCUUUUACCCGGGAUGAUAAUGACAGUACCGGGAGAAUAAGCACCGGCUAACUCCGUG
rnacentral:rRNA from 1 species